UGCAAUGGUAAGGGUGUGGGCGGUUGAUUGGCGAUUGCUGAUGAACUGACGUAAGUCGCCUCUGCUUUGAGUCAGCUGAGCUCAUCUUACUAUACAGUAUCUUCUUCUCUUUUUGAUUUGACAAAAUUAUUAGCAUUCGGAGUAGCUGGCGUUGUGUUUGUGUGGGUACCUAUUUUCUUUGUUCAUCAUUCAAUUAUUUCAAUUACCAGUAUCUAUUCUUCACUGCGAAUAAAAUUUCAUUCAUCUGCAAUGUAACUCAGUCAUAAACCAAAUUUUUAGCUCUCAAGAACUGAAAAUUAUAACUUACUUCUCAUUUUUAAUUUCAACAUUUUUAAAAUUCUUCCUACAGGGUGGACAGAAAUAUCGGGUACCCCUAAAAAAGUUUUCUGCUAAAUACUUCGGUUGGUCACAGUGAAUGAUAAUAAUGGUAGCACAUGAUUGGUUGUUAGACUGGAGAGAUAACAUUUCACCAAUCAUAUGCAUCUAUUUCACAUUGCCAACCUAUAUUUUUAAUAAAAAACUUUCUUAGGGGUACCCGAUAUUUCUGUCCACCCUGUACUUGUUGAAAAGGUACCCAUACUACACGAUCGAAUCAUUCGACAUUCGACAUUGAUUUUUUUGAUUGAGUAAAAUAAGAAUGUAUAAAUUUCAUUUCGAAUUUGGCCCAAUUAGAGUAAUCAAACUAAAACAGUGAAUUUAAGACGAUCUAAAUAAUUCUUAAAUUUUUUGAUUUUUUUUCCUUUUCUAAUUUUUUUUUUUUUUUUUUUGAAAAAAAACGUCGAAAAAAAAAUAAAAAUUUUAUUUAAUUCAGUGUUGCUUUUCGUACUAUCGAUAAAAUUACCAAAUAAUGCAACACUGAUUUUCAAAAAAUGUUAUCAAAAUUAUCACGAGCACAAAGCCAAAACAACUUUUUAUUUUUUUUUUUCGAUCGAAGUUUCUCAACCUUGCUCAACUCGACCCACUCGACCACCCUUCUGUACAGAAAUUUUCUGACGAAAGACGAAAGUUCGUCCUCUGCAGUCAAAUUUUCCGGCGUAAAUCGUAUUAUUGCGCUUAAUUUGACAUUUUAUCAUCAUGAGUAUCGUCAAUCACAUCAGACACACUAGCAGAGUUUCCGGGCUAUUUCGUAACAAAUCAGAAAUGCCUGUUUCCAUAUCGUUAGCUCUCAGUGGUCUAGCUGUGCAAGUCUACGCUUCGUAUAACUUACUGAAGAAUGAUAACGGUACCCGAACGAUUCCUUUCUUAAGUAAACAAUAACUAAUUUCAUUCGCUGAUCGGUCCUAUAGAUGAAUAUUUACUAAUAUGAAACACGCUGGCGUUAUACGAUGAUUACAUUAUAGUAGAUGAAACUUCCGAUAAAUUUGAAUCUUUUUAUACCUUAUUUUAGAUAAUGCAAUCUAAGAUACUCCCAGCUCUGUUUAAUCGAAUAUCUUAGCAUAAUUGUCAACUUUUCUUCGUUUUAAAUACGUUAUGCUUCUUUUGAUCUACGUACCCGAUCUACAAAGUAUUAUUUUUAGAAGUAAUGCAUAAAUAACUUUCUUCUCUUUUUUUUGCGUUAUUUCUUUGCUUUAUCUUUUAUUUUUGUACAUCGGUGUAAAGUGCAUAAGUUUCUGUUGAUAUUGUAGAAUCUGUGAAUAUUAUUAAAAUGCGUUAUUACAAAGUCCUAAUGAUGA